rnacentral:rRNA from 1 species
UACGAAGGGUGCAAGCGUUACUCGGAAUUACUGGGCGUAAAGCGUGCGUAGGUGGUUCGUUAAGUCUGUCGUGAAAGCCCCGGGCUCAACCUGGGAAUGGCGAUGGAUACUGGCGGGCUAGAGUGCGGUAGAGGAGAGUGGAAUUCCCAGUGUAGCAGUGAAAUGCGUAGAGAUCGGGAGGAACAUCAGUUGCGAGGGCGGCUCUCUGGACCAGCACUGACACUGAGGCACGAAAGCGUGGGGAGCAAACAGG